AAAGAGUCCCGCACGGCGAAGUGCCGGUGAACCGUGUCAGAUCUGGAAGGAAGCAGCACUAAGCCUGUUACUUCGGGUGUUGCGGAUCGGCUCUUUUCGA
rnacentral:SRP_RNA from 1 species